UCGUCGGCGAUCUGGGGGCAGAUGAAGUGGACGUGCGCGUCGACGGCGCCUGCCGUCAUCAGCCGUCCGUUGCCCGCGAUGACCUCGGUCUCGGGGCCGAUGACGAGGUCGGGGUGCACGCCGUCCAUCGUGUCGGGGUUGCCGGCCUUGCCGAUGCCGGUGAUCCGGCCGUCGCGGAUGCCGACGUCGGCCUUGACGACGCCCCAGUGGUCGAUGACCACGACACCGGUGACGACGGUGUCGGGGGUGCCCUCGGCACGGGUGGCGCGGGACUGGCCCAUGGACUCCCGGAUGA
rnacentral:sRNA from 1 species